GAUCCUGGCUCAGGAUGAACGCUAGCUACAGGCUUAACACAUGCAGGUCGAGGGGAAACGACAUCGAAAGCUUGCUUUCGAUGGGCGUCGACCGGCGCACGGGUGAGUAACGCGUAUCCAACCUGCCCACCACUUGGGGAUAACCUUGCGAAAGUAAGACUAAUACCCAAUGAUAUCUCUAGAAGACAUCUGAAAGAGAUUAAAAAUUUAUCGGUGAUGGAUGGGGAUGCGUCUGAUUAG
rnacentral:rRNA from 1 species